GCGGCCCCGGUAAAGGGAGAGACGGCGCUGCCGCCGCUCCGCGCCUUGCUCGGGGCACGGAGCUGAUGAUUAACCUGCGGUUCAUUGAAUACCUACCUGGCUCAAGUCGCGCCCGGGAUGUGGUUUAACCUUGUCCGAGGUUUCGGUACCUCGGGCUUUGCCUUUCUGCCUGAGACCCUGGUGCUGCCAGUUUUGCUGCUACCGAAGCGCUGCGGGGAUGUGCAGCUCCCCGUUGAAAAUCUCUGCUGUUAAUAUCAGCCUAGACUUCACUUUACAGUCGUUUUUAGAGGUUUGAGGCUCCAGAGGUCGAGGUGAUGUGGGACUCUCGGUCUCGGCGAGCAUUUUUGCAGCAGCAGCAGCCUCGGGCUGCAGUAGCUGGCACUUGAAUCCAUGUUGGCUCCUUUUCCUCGGGCGUGAGCUGCAAGGAGCUCAGCAGCUUCGGCAUUUAGUCCCAUUUGGGGAAACGUCUGUCCUUUGUGAGGAUGCCAGUACAGUUAUAGCCACUGACACUAUACAUGACCAGAGGCUCCAGUUUCUGGCAUCUCUUUCUAUCGUCAGGAAAGUAUUUUCACACCUCAGCCAAAACUCAAACCCAAUCAUCUACUUUUUAUAUGGCAACAGUGCCUAGCAAGGUGGGGACACAUCUGUCUUGAUAGGAUGUCAUGAGAGCAUCUCCUUGCAAUUUGUUUCUCUUCCCUCAGACAAGGUGCCAGCACAGUGACUUGUUCCUUGGUAGUCAGUUCAAUUUCUUCAGAUUAUCUGUAAAUUUUCAAUAAUGGCAAUACAUUCAUUCUGCCAUUUGGAGGAGCCUGUGCCACAGAAUAAUGAUCUGAAGAAAGCUCACUUAUUUGCAAGGAAGAGUCUUCAUUUGGGAAUUAGCACCGAUGCAGCUAAGAGGUGCUUCCUCAAGUUCAGCAGAACUGUUAUUGUUUCACCUCUGGUACAUGGACAAAACUGGGUUUUCUUCAUAGAUCAGGAUUCCUGGACCUGAAGAGUAAGAAGAAACCAUUUUGGUAGGUGUGGGUUGCUUGUCAGAAAUCCGUUCCAAAGCUAGAGUGCGAAGCAAGAAGAGUGCUAAUGAUGAAUAUGAAUGGAUAUCUUAAGGAUAACAAUGGACACGGCAUCUUCAAAAGCAGUGGCAUUCUGGAAUUUUCCAUGUUUAUUAUUGUCCACAUUUGAACCCUAUCCAGUUUUUUAGUACCCUUUUGGAGAAGGGGUGACCUGUACCUCAUAUGGGAUUUUCUUUUUCUGCAAUAAGCAUGUUUUUGGAGACCCUGAGAAUUUCUUAGCAUGUAAGAUUUGCCCAUGAUUCACACUGGGGAGAAAAUAGCUGGUACCAGCCAUGAAUGCAAUCCAGCUCUUUGUUAUAGGAUUGAGGAAUUUAGGAAAUACCAGAGUUGAAGUUGAUGCACAUAGCUGUGCAUCAUAUACCAGGUAUGUGUGUGUGUAAUAUUGUGAUAAUUAUAUGACCAGGUACUGUUUAAUAAAAUAUUGGUUUGUGUAAUUGUAAAUUAUUAGUUCCUAUGAUUUUAGGCACCACACAGACAAAGGCUGAAAAGAUUAUCUGCAGUUUUAAGUGCUGGCAAUGUAAAUAUAAUACAGUUGAAAAUAGAAAAUACACACUAAUAAAUAUAAUAAUAAAAUAUAUAAAAUAUAGAUGAGAAGGGAAAUGCUAGUAGUUAGGGGGAACAUUCAUACUUUAGAGAUCCAAGUCAGAUACCUAAAUCAAAAGACUGAUCUGCCUAGGCUAUUUCCACAGCUUAUACAGGGACUCCUUCAGGGAACAGUUUGGAAUGUUUCAGGAGUUCUUGCAACCAAAUCACUCUCAACCGGAGCCUCUCCACUUACUGUAUAGUAGGAUACGUCUCCUACAUCUCACUCUUCAUUACUUUAGACACUUAAAAAUACGUGAUAUGUGUAUAACUGCUUAUCACGCGUUUUGCUCAUAUGGGCUGUAGGGUCAUGUUAGUAAGCUGAAUUUCAGAGAAAGCUUUGAACAACAGCAAUGCAAUGUGUUUUCAAAUAUUUAAGGGAGUUACCAUAAAGUGUAAGGUAUAAAACAGAAAAAGGCACAAGAAAUUUGUGUGAAAAUACAACGUGUGGGUGAGAGAGGAGCUGGAAACUGGACUCCUGAUGCAAGAAGCAUCUCUGAGUUUUAUUUUUUUACCAGUAAAAAGUGGAGGGUUUUGAAAAUGUGUUAGCCAAACACAAAAUAAAAAUCAAAUUAGACGGUAUGAUCUAAUGGUCUUUUAAGCUUUAUGUUUCAUGAAAAUUGUCCCAGCUUCAAAUGGGAGCAAACCACAGCUGUCUUCCUGACAGUGAUUCAGGAGCAAUAGGUGUGAUGGUGAGAAGCAAGGAUGGGCCUUGAAGCUGAAGACAAGUAACAGAUGUUGCAGAAGUAGCCAGAGAGAGCUGUGGAGACUUAUGUGUUCUCUAAGUGAUCAACUAGGAAAAGGGUCUUUGCAGCAGUUUUCUGAGUGAAUGCAUGCAAUAUUAGGCUGUGUCUCUCAAAGGCAGAGAGAAAAAAUGUUACUGAAUCAAAACGUGAUGAUGAUGAUUAACCUGAUUGUUUGAAAGAGUUAAGAAAAAUACCAUCUUGAAAAUGUUGCACUGAAAGUAUCUGCAAAUUAUGAAUAUGAAUCUUGGGAUUUGGAGUAUAUUUGGCAUCUAAGGUGAUGCUAGAGUUAUAUGUCUACGCAAUAGGCAGGAUGAUGGUGUGGCUAUGCAGCUUUGUGAGUGCCACCACCAAUUAAGUCAUUCAUAUGGAAACUGUAUAGAUCUGUCCUCAAAUAUAAUUGUAUUAUUUAUUAUUAAGUUCUUCACUCCUACAAUUGCUUCCCACAUAAUAUUGCUUAGAAUAUUUCCCUACCUGCCACAAAGGGCUGGACGUUAAUUGUUGAGUUUGAUUUGCAAUGUCAUGGUGGGGUACCUAGAAUGAAAAGAUGUGGUUUGCAUUUGCUGGGAAGCCACUGAUCUUUUCAUUUGGUUUACAGUAAUAGUGAACACUGGAUACAGUAAUUUCUUUACAAUUAAAUUAUUAAGUUAAGUCUUCUAGUAACUAUACUCUGUAGUACUUCAGUAAUAGGUAAUUGAUUCUGUUCCUCAUCCUGAUACUGCCUGAUGAUGUAAGAAUUCUCCCCAAGACGAGGAAGCUUUCAGUUUACUUGAAGCUUUUAUAGUCAGGUUCCAUAUCAGCCACAGUCACCUUUUGUUUCCCCCUUCAGCAUGUCCCAGAACUCACAGGUUGAGAAAGGAUACUGGAGAAAGGACAGAGGAAGUAACAUCUGCUCUUGGCUAAUUUUCCACUGGCAUGUAGUCAUAUGGGCAUGGUAGCAAACAGAUAUGAAUUAGAAUUGCUUCUAGGUAUUUCUAACUUAAACCAGAGAUGAGGCAACUUUAGUAUCAAGGAGGCAUAAUCUGAAAAAAAAAUCAAAGAGCUUUUUAUUUUCUUUCUUGUUAUUUUUAUAAUAGAUACAUUUCCACCAGGUGUGGAAAUUUAAAGUGUUAAUGCAUUUUUGCAAGAGCAAGAAGAAAGGUUGUCUUAGGCAUCUAGUAGUUAGGUGUCCAGAUUAUAAAGUUAACACUUGUAGUAUGCUCAGGGAAGAGACAUUAAAAAAUUGCCUUUCCUCAGAAAUGUAACUCUGGGAAGGAAUUUGAUAUUAAUAGCCCAUCAACAGUUUCAAGUUAUUCAGAGAAAGAGUAGUGAUAGCCAGGUAAGACAGUAAAUGACCCUUUGCCUGCUAAAAAUUUGUGAAAUCAUAAAUUUGUGAGCAAACGUGCCCUGCUUGCAUGCUCAGCUCCCCAGCCAUUGUAUGUUUACAGAGCAACAGCCAGGUUUGAAUCUGUAACUCUUUUGAGAUAAAAUAACCAAAAUCUGACACCAUUAGUGCAGUGUUAUAGGUGCUUUUCCAUGUACCAGUUUCGGACAGGCAUGUGGUAUGGAAGUGGGAAUUCAACAUUAAAAUGGAAAUAAAGAUUUUGAUAUGUAUCCUGAGCCAGCACUACUGACCCUAAGAAGACAAAACCAUUACCUUUCUUCACAAAUUUUGGAAAUCUCAUCUACCUUGCAUAUCCAUGAAUUUCCUUAUGUAUAAGUAGUCUAAGUAAAGUCAGUUUCUCGUCUUGGCAAAAAGGGCUCUAAAUGUCCAUUAGAAAUAAUAGCAGUCUGAGUCCUUACCUCUCCAUCAGUGCUACAGGCAAACCAAUGUCUCAUUGAAUUUCACAUGUUCAUAUCCUCAUGUAUCUUGAGAUAAUUUUUACACUUAUUAAUUUAUUUUAUACAAAGGAUCUUGCUGCAUCUUAAGCCAUCCUGUAGGAGAUACAAAAGUAAUCAGAGAUAGUUGAUAGUCUUGAACAUUUUUAUUGUGUAGAAAGUGUGUUCAUACUGAUUUAUCUGGUUACAUGCUGGUCUCUGAAGGCAUAACUCUACUACAGUAACGGGAAGAAUGGUAUCAUACUCCUGGACCUCAUUCUGUCUUUGGUCCGGCUGUCUCAAAGAGGUUGUACCAGUGAAGAUACAAGGUGCAGCAACAUUUACAGGCACAAUGAAUUGGCUGUUACACCCUCCUGAGCUGACAGAUACCCGUGGGAAGGUCAUAGCUAGAGAGAAAGCAUGAACCCUUUCCUGAGGUGGAUGAAAAGAGCUGGUGUUGAAGUUUGGAUGACACGAUGCUCCGCAGUGCAGCC